rnacentral:rRNA from 1 species
GACGAACGCUGGCGGCGUGCUUAACACAUGCAAGUCGAACGGAAAGGCCCUGCUUUUGUGGGUUGCUCGAGUGGCGAACGGGUGAGUAACACGUGAGUAACAUGCCCUUGACUUUGGGAUAACUCCAGGAAACUGGGGCUAAUACCGGGUAGAAGCUCCUGAUGCAUGGGGGGGGUUGGAAAGUUUCGGCGGUUGGGGCUGGACUCGCGGCUUAUCAGCUUGUUGGUGGGGUAGUGGCUUACCAAGGCUGUGACGGGUAGCCGGCCUGGGCGGGUGACCGGCCACAUGGGGACUGCGAGACGCCCCAGACUCCUACGGGAGGCAGCAGUGGGGAAUAUUGCACAAUGGGCGGAAGCCUGAUGCAGCAACGCUGCGUGCGGGAUGACGGCCUUCGGGUUGUAAACCGCUGUCGCCGGUGCCAAAGCGUGAUUGACGGUAAUGGGUAAAGAAGCACCGGCUAACUACGUG